AUUUGGUGGAUACUUGGGCAAGGUAGAUGGAUCACAAGCAUAUGGCUUCGUUUUGAAAUACUGGAAAGGAAGGCAAAUCAUUAACCCAAAAACAUUUGAGACUUUGAGUUAUAGUUGUCAGGAUAGCAAUCAUGUUUGAGAUUGAAUAUGAAGGGGCAAGAGCUACCUCAGACAUGAGAGCAGAUGAGGCUGUUCCACGCUUGUAAGGUUCUAUGGCAAGAAAAGAUUCUAAUAGGCUCAAUGCGGUUGGUGCAAAUUCUUUACACUUUUCACUAAGAGAACUUUCAUAUGCAUGUUGGGGUUUGAACAUAGCUGCAUGAGGAAGCUUUGUUUUUUUCCAGAACUCUUCAGGUGGGGAGCCGCAAAGUUUGAAUAUUUUGUGCAAUUGUUCAACCUGUUUCGUUUUUUUCCAUUCGUGUCAGAUCAAACACUAAGCAACAAUCAAUAAGACAAAGGCUUCUAUUGGAAACCCCCAUCAAUAUUACCUCGGUUCUUCCUUUAAGAAGUGGUUUCCCCAGGUGCAAUUCUGCAAAUACACAUCCUAUACUCCAGAGGUCCACUGUUAAUCCGUAAUCUGUUGAACCCAUCAGAAGCUCAGGUGGGCGGUACCAUAAUGUCACCACUCGACUUGUUAGCGCUUGCUUGUUUCUCGAGUUUAUGACAUUUGCUAAUCCAAAAUCUGCUAACUUCAGAACUCCUUCAUUGUUUACCAAAAUAUUGGAUGCCUUAAUGUCUCUAUGCAUUAUACCCCGAAGGUGGCAAUGCUCAAUUGCAGAUAGCAGCUGUCUCAUAUAACACUUUAUCUGAAAAAGAGAACACAAUAGUUUCUUACAUAUAUAAAAACCACAGACCCAAUGGAAGAGGAAAUGAGAUUGUUUUUUUAUUAACACUUUGCCAACGCUAUUGAUUGUGCACGUUAAAUCAGUGGAUGAAAUACCAACCUGUGCCUCACUGAACUUGAUAUUAGGAGAAGACACUAGCCCUGCAAGAUCGUGAUCCAUGUAUUCAAAUACAAGGUAAAUGCUGCUAGACAUUUUUGAAGUAAUUAUUCCUUCUAACUGCAUGAUGUUUGGAUGUUCAAGCCGGCGCAAAAUCAUAAUUUCCCUUGCCAUAAAUCUAAUGCUCUCCGGUUGAAAAUUGUCAAAACGAACCUUCUUCAAGGCAACCAUCUUUCCUGACUCAACUUCUCGAGCACGAAACACACUGCUGUAUGUUCCUUGGCCAAUCUAAUUCAAAAACAAAAUUGUUUGAUCUUUCUGAGUAAUGUGUACAUAGAUGCACAUCAAACAUUCAAGAGGAUGAUGCAUUACACAGGCCAUUGCCAAUAACAAGAUUUAUAGACCUUCAGAACAUACAAAGAACAGAACUUGAUCUAAUGCUCCAAGAGACAUGUUUGGGGUUCGAUUAAUUCAAAUAUUGGGGCAGAAAACUUGAACAUAUUCAUCUAAGAUAGCAUUUGCUAAAUGCUGUCUUCACCGAAUGUGUUGUUCUAAGUUCUUGUAACUCAAAGCCAUAUAUGAAUGUCAUAAAGACCAUUUUAACAACUGCACAGAAAGACUCUUAACGCAAUGUGGUUGGUUAAUCACUCUGUUUUUCAUAUGAACCUGCGUUAGAUUAUUAGAAUCAAUCUCUUGGGAGUAGGCCCUUCUUUGUAGUUUUUUAAGGACAAACGAAGAAAUCACGAGUGUCAUAAUUCGUACCUUCUCCAACUUCUCGAAGGAAUCAGCUCGAAGAGGAACCCAUCCAUGUACGGCCUCACCGGCAGCACUACUAAGCCAAGAGGGCCAGCCGGCGGCAACCUGCUC